rnacentral:lncRNA from 1 species
GUCUCAUUUAUGCUUUAAGUAACACACUGAAAAUGCAUAUCACGCCAGUGUGUGUGGGUAGGUUUUGCCUGUUCAAACUCUCACAAUAGGCAGAGAUGAUUGAUAACAAGACCAACUCGAGGUUGCUUCUCUGAAACCCCACCCUCUCCCGCAACCUCUGCAAGGACAAGUCGGCUUUCUUUCAGUAACAUGAAGACUCAAAGUAAAAAAAAAAAAAAAAAAAAAUAGCAUUGACUGGUUAGUCAGAAUGCUUUCCUGGCUGGAAAACCACCACCGGAGGGGCCAGGAAAUGACCAUUUUCAGCCUUCUGUGGUACAUGAAGUAUAAACCAUACACAGUAUCAUGUGAAACCAGGGAAACUCAUAUAUUUCAGGAAAAUCCCCUUACCCCUCAGGGUUGUUGGUUUUUGUUCUAUGUGAAUCAAAUUCCUGUAUUUUCCUACAGAGCAGCUAUGGUUCCCGCUGGAAGGAAACGGAAGACUUCAGUUCUCUGGAGGGAGCUUCUCCCGCAGCAUACAGGUUCUUGCUGGAACCCUGUUGCAUUUCCUCUGUAGGACACACAGGUUUAUCUAAGCUGUGAAAGCAACACAGAGAUAAGACCCAUGGUGUUUUCCUUGUUAGAAAAAAGCUGUCUACUUCCUGUCUGGAGAAACCAGGGACACUUGAUUUUGAAGGGACUUCAGCAAUGUAAGCACAAAAUCAGCCCCUUCUCUUUAAUUUAAAUUCCACCCUUCUCUUGGGUGACGGCUGUUUCUAAGUUAUUUAAAGAUUUAGAAAGUAGCUAGAAGGUCACUGGGUUUGUGGCGGCAUUGGCUUUUAAGCUUGUGCAAUAAAACCACAUUCGGCUUGUUCCCUAAGGUGAGGGCAGAAAUGACUGGACGGAAUGCCCACCUGCCCAUACAGUUUGAAGAGAACAGUCCAAGUUCUCAAAUAGUUCGAAACCUUUUAAGAAAUCAGAAAUAGUAGGAAACAUUGCAUCUGAAGUCACAGAAUAUGUUAAUAUUAACCCGUGUGGCUGGAAUAAAUGUGCAAGCUGAUGUGUUAAUCUCUGACGUAUUUGGAGAUAUUUCCUUUAUGUAAAUAAUUUAAACUGUCCACAAGAUAACUUCAUUUUCUACAGAGUCCGAUUUGAUUUUAACAUUUUUUGAAGAUCAUGGGAGUUUAUCAUUUUGUUUUUGGUUUCAUUCAAUGGUAGCAAUCUGAGAUAGUCACCUGCCCAUCCCAGGUCCAGUUGUGUAACUUUUAACAAGUUAUUAAACAUCCUCAUGCCUCAGUUUCUUCAUUUAUAAAGUGGGGAUAAUAGUAUCUA